CAUUUUUGUCUACCAUAUAAAUUUUAGCUACCGCUGCCAUGUCCUUCACAGCAUUUAUAGAGAACCUUGCUUUCUUAAACUAAUCCAAGGAAGCCUUAGGAUGACUCAAGUGUUUAAGGACACAGUGAUAACGCCUCAUGACCCCCCCCCCCAAAAAGAAAAAAACAAUUAGAAAAAAAUGGAAUAAAGGUUGUUGCUCUCCAAAUAUUGUUUUGGUGCAUGUCAGUUGCAGGGUAAGGUCAGGCUCAACUUUGGUUAAUUAUGAGGAGAUGGAAUCACAACCAAUAGGAACAGUGUGUGCAUAGACUCCCCUAGCUUUUCUCAAGACCCUAGCUUUCUUAAAUGCUUUGGUCAUCCUUGGCCUCCUUGGAUAAGUAAGGGGAAUCAUCAUGCGGGUUAAAUUGAUUCACUUUUGCAUUCUGUGUUUAAGAUGAGUUCAAUGACUGCAUGACUCUGUUUUGUUUUGAGUUCCAGUGUUUAAGGCUCUUAAGUUCACUCAAUCACUGUCAUGUUUAAACUAAAGGCUACAGAAUAAAGAGCACUUUGGAUAAUCC